AUAUUUACUGUUUUUAAAAAAACACGCGAUGUUUACCUUUGGCUAGUAUAAAUACUGUUCUACCUUCAUUUCUUAAAAAGUUGAUUUGGAAAAUGAAGCCAGUUUUUGUCAUUUUGUUUUUGACAUGCAUUGCGUUCACAUAUGCAGAAAGCUAUGAGGAUGUGAAAGAAGAAAUUAAAAAUGAAGUUGAAAGAGAAAUAUUUGAAGAUCUUGAAGAGGAAAGUGACGUAUUAGAUAGUAACGUUAGAGAGUUCAAUGAUGCAAAGCCAUGGAGAUUUCGUAGAGCUAUUCAAAGAGUACGAUGGAGAAAAGUUGCUCCUUACAUGCCAUUUGUUGUUAAGACGGUUGGUAAAAAGUAAUGAAAACAACUAAAAUAAAUCUUUUUUUUACAUGAGCUUUAAUAUAACUCGUUUCAAA